rnacentral:rRNA from 1 species
CCUACGGGUGGCAGCAGUGAGGAAUAUUGGUCAAUGGUCGAGAGACUGAACCAGCCAAGCCGCGUGAGGGAUGAAUGUACAGAGUAUUGUAAACUUCUUUUGUCUGGGAAUAAAACAUGGUAUGCCUCCCCUCUUGUAUGUACCAGAUGAAUAAGCAUCGGCUAACUCCGUGCCAGCAGCCGCGGUAAUACGGAGGAUUCGAGCGUUAUCCGGAUUUAUUGGGUUUAAAGGGUGCGGAGGUGGUGUGUUAAGUCAGUGGUCAAAGCUCGGGGCUCAACCCUAGCAUGGCAGUUGAAACUGGCAGUCUUGAGUUGGGGAGAGGUGUGCGGAAUGCGCGGUGUAGCGGUGAAAUGCAUAGAUAUCACGCAGAACUCCGAUUGCGAAGGCAGCUCGCCGGAUUGACACUGACGCUGAUGCACGAAAGUGUGGGUAUCAAACAGGAUUAGAUACCCCGGUAGUC